AAAAAUGGCCAAGAGAGGGGCACGAGUCGCUAUUCGGCUUGUCCUGGAAUAACACGAGUUGGUCACCAAUGAGAACAUAGCACAACUGCAAUGGGAAACUAAAAAGUGAAACAGUUACACUAAUCCAUGUAUUUUCAUAUUCUGACAGAAACCUCAACUAUUAAAUGUGGCUGAUUAUCAACCCAUUACAGAACCCUGACACUACACGUGUGAGAUGCAGGCAGAAAGAAGAUAACGGUUGUUGACACAGCAUGGCAGUCACGACCACCGCAGAUGUUUCGUUCAAGGGAACUGAAAACGGACGCCGUUUCGACAGAUUCGUGGAUUCGACUUGAAAGACUGUUUACGAGUAUGACCAGUGUAUUUAUUUGUGUUUGUUAAUAAACCUGCUCGCUUGGCAGCUGCGGUAGGCAUAACCCUU